UUGUUCAUGUUUAUUUGAGUCUUUUUAGAUAAUCCAUUCAACUGUGCGGUGUCACAAGCGCAGUGGAGCGUAGAGCCUCAACACUGGUUUUGUUUCCCAACACUGUAGAGUUGCAAACUUGUUUUCUAACCAAAAUCAAACAAGAACUUGGUUUGUACCAACAACUGCUCGUAGCUUGGAUCCUGCCAGUUUUGUCAACACUCAUGUUGACGUCGCUAGAAUUAAAGCCACUGCAAACACCAAUGUCACUGAGCGGUCGAACAGGGUGAUGAAGGACAAAGGCUGCUGUCGCUGGAACCCUUCAUGAGGGAGGUGCAGAACCAGGCCUUCCCCAAUCCCCUGAUCUUUGAACAGACCUAUGUGGGUUUUCGACCCCUUUAUGGCAGCCAUGAUGACGAAAUGUAAAUGAUGGCAAAGUCGCGUCUUUACGGUGACUCAGCUAAAAAGCUGUCAGCUCUGUCACAUUUUAAAAAUUCCAUCGGCGCCCUGAACUUUCACUUCUUUGAUGACCAUCAAAAGCUAUCUGUUCACACUGCAUGGCAUUUGCUGCUAUUAACUACUUGGACACCAUGUCAAUACAUUGUGUUUCCAUGUGCAUUGGUGUGUUUGUGUGUGUGCUGUGUGUGCAGAGUGCCCAGAAAUGCCUCAUCACCAUCUUCAACAAGUGGGAAGGCUUCUCAUCCAACAUGAAGAUGGCUGCCAGUCGCCUCGGCAUGAACUACAGAUGUCCAGUGGGAACAAACACUGAGUUUGAAGCACUGCGCAGCAGCUCCUGCAAACGGAGAGGCCUGCAGAGGUUCGAUGCAGUGUGUUGAUCCUGAGCCUGUGCCGGGUCCAACGCACGGCCUCCAGAAGACCCCAGAAGAUUCACACAGCCGUCCAUUAAUGUCAGUUGGCAACGCGGCACAAAGAACUGGUGAGGGUGGGACAUGUUCCUCAUCUGUCAGCGCCGUGAACUCUGUAAUUAUAACAAGUUCUUUUGUUUCAGGCUCGUUACAAGCUGGUGACGACUGUCAACCACUUUGGUUGACAAAAUAGUUGCCUGGUUUAGGAGCUCAAAAGCAGGGUCGAUGAGCGGAAGCACGUAUUAUUAAUACGGUGAUCUGGUUCAAGCCGCGAUAGUCUAUGCAUGGACGUAGAGAGUUGUCCUUUUUGCUGACAAAGAAAAACCCUGCAUC